AUUUGAGAAAAAGACAAAAAUAUCACUAAAUCAAGUUUUUGUUCCCAAACUAGCACUCAAGCUCAAAAGUCACAAAAAUAGCACUUAACGUUUUAUCAAAAGUCACAAACUUAGGGUUUAGAGUUAAAGGGUGGGGUUUAGGAUUUAGGGUUUAGGGUUUAGGGUUUAGAGUUUAGGGUUUAGGGUUUAGAGUUGAGAAAUGAGGUUUUGAGGAUAAGAUUUCAAAUUUUGAAAAAUAAAAAAAUUAAAAUUUUCAAAAGAUAAAAUGUUAUUUUGGUCAUUUUAGUUUUUGAGUGCUAUUUUUGUGAUAUAAACUUAGAAANNNNNNNNNNNNNNNNNNNNNNNNNNNNNNNNNNNNNNGAUAAGAUUUCAAAUUUUGAAAAAUAAAAAAAUUAAAAUUUUCAAAGGAUAAACUUAGAAAGGUGCUAUUUUGGUCAUUUUAGUUUUGGAGUGCUAUUUUUGUGAUAUAAACUUAGAAAUGUGCUAUUUUGGAGAUUUGCCCAAGAAAUUUUUUUAUAUAAAAGUUCCAAUUUGAAAACAUAUGAUCUAAAACUAUAAUUUUUUUUUUUAUUAUUAUUUUUUAUUUAUAUAUCUAGGGUAUUAGGUUUUUGAGAAAAAGACAAAAUAGCAUUAAAUCAAGUUUUUGUUCCCAAACUAGCACUCAAGGUCAAAAGUCACAAAAAUAGCACUUAAUGUUUUAUCAAAAGUCACAAACUUAGGGUUUAGAGUUAAAGGGUGGGGUUUAGGAUUUAGGGUUUAGGGUUUAGGGUUUAGAGUUUAGGGUUUAGGGUUUAGCGUUUAGGGUUUAGAGUUUAGGGUUUAGAGUUUAAGGUUUAGGAUUUAGGGUUUAGGGUUUAAGGUUUAGAGUUUAGGGUUUAGGGUUUAGGGUUUAGGGUUUAAAGUUGAGAAAUGAGGUUUUGGGGAUAAGGUUUCAAAUUUUGAAAAAUAAAAAAAUUAAAAUUUUCAAAGGAUAAACUUAGAAAGAUGCUAUUUUGGUCAUUUUAGUUUUUGAGUGCUAUUUUUGUGAUAUAAACUUAGAAAUGUGCUAUUUUGGAGAUUUGUCCUA
rnacentral:lncRNA from 1 species